AUCUACGGUGAUGGUUCUGUGGAGAGCUGACAAAGGGCCUGAGACUGAUUAAAGAGGCAGGAUCCGUGAAGUAGUGGGGAAGGGAAGAAGGUAGGCACUCCGGGUUUAAGAAUUGAUCCGGUAACUCUGUGCACAGACCAAGGUAAGAAAUAUUAAGUAUUGCCUUGGGGGUCGGGUGAGACUCUGUGUGACGUGUGACUGAGACGUACUUCUGUACGAAGCAAGUGUGGAGUCCUGAUCCGCAGUUCUGUAGCUCCGCGAGGGGCAUGGCUGGAGACGGACAAAGCCUGAGAUAAGGGAGAGAAAGGAAGAGUCUCGGGAAAUUUGGUGUGUGGUACCCUUGCUCGGGGAAGUGCUUGGCAGUACACCCCCAUUUUCCAGAAUCAGAAUGUUAGUGUGUGGUACCCUGCAGGAGGGAAAUUUCUGUAGCAGCACACUGACAAGGGCUAGGAGAAAUGGGAAAUAUGGGUUCCAGGGGACAGGGAGAUAUCCCUGGGGGAGUGCCUACCAACAGUUCUUCCUGAAGAAUGGACCCGUGGGCUGUUGGCUCAAACCCCACCUUUGGAAUUCCCCAUUCACCACCAUCACCCAGGAAAUUGGGUCCUGAUUCCGACCUGGAAAGAAUCAAAACUCCGGCCUGAAUGGGAAGGACCAUUCCAAGUACUGCUAACCACUGAAACAGCUGUAAGAACUGCGGAAAAAGGUUGGACUCACUAUACUCGAGUGAAGGCAUCCGUUGACCCUACUAUCUGGGAAGCUGUUCCUACAGAAGACUUGUUGGAAGUUAAAAUCGAAAAGAAAAACCUCAUAAUGGACUCUGAGCAGGAUAAAAGCUUACAACUGUAAACUAACCUUUUAUUUUCACAGCAGGGUGUGAGUGCUACCCGGCAUCUGGGAGAAUUUGCCUUGUGCACGAGGACCUUGAAUGCUACCAAGGACUUGAUGGGAAACUGCUCAAGACUUGAGAUCCCCAGGGCAGAUCUCUGGUGGUACUGUGGAGGGAAGAUCUUACGGUCCACCCUGCCAUGUAAUUGGGGAGGCACUUGUGCACUUGUUCAAUUAGCUAUACCCUUCACCCUGGCAUUUGAAAGAGGAACAUCACAAAUACCCAGAAGAAGUAAAAGAAGCUUAGGAGUAUCAUUUGAUGAUAGAGUAUACAUCGAUUCUAUUGGGGUGCCUAGAGGACUUCCCUAUGAACAGAAAGCCAGGAAUCAAAUUGCUGCAGGGUUUGAGUCACUGUUCUGGUGGGUAUCAAUCAAUAAGAAUGUGGAUUGGAUUAAUUAUAUUUAUUAUAAUCAUCAGAGAUUCAUCAAUUAUACCAGGGAUGCAAUAAGAGGAAUCGCUGAACAACUAGAUGCCACCAGCAAAAUGGCUUGGGAAAACAGAAUAGCAUUAGAUAUGAUGCUCAUGGAGAAAGGAGGUGUGUGUGUGAUACUGAGCAACCAUUGUUGCACUUUUAUACCCAACAAUACUGCCCCGGAUGGCACAGUAACUAGAGCAUUGCAAGGGCUUACCACCCUUGCCAGUGAAUUGGCAGAAAA